UCUACACUUACAUAUUGUAAGCCAUGAAUUUACUGCUUGUACAGAAUCCUUGGACACAGCAAUUUCGUUAUGAUAAAUAUACGUCUCAACAUCACAGGUUGUCUCUAAAAAAGUACAUAGCAGUGCAAAAGGUGCUUACGUUCAUAAAAUACAUUUCGUUAUUUAUUUGCGAUGCAGCGAAUAUAAACGAAGACUUCUCGGGUACUCCACCUUACUGCUAUCCGAGCUACUGAUUCUUGGCUGUAACCUUUGGUUCUGAUGAUUUACGAUGUUUUAUUUCUGCUUUUCUGUGAUGUAAAUUCAACUAGUGUAUCUAAGUAUGUUACACUUCGAUGAGCUUGCUUC